rnacentral:piRNA from 1 species
UGAAAACUGGAUGUCUGCACACUCACUC